UACGAGGGGGGCGAGCGUUGUUCGGAAUUAUUGGGCGUAAAGGGUGCGUAGGCGGUUUGGUAAGUCUUUUGUGAAAUCUCUGGGCUCAACUCAGAGUCUGCAGGAGAAACUGCCGGGCUGGAGUGUGGGAGAGGUGAGUGGAAUUUACGGUGUAGCGGUGAAAUGCGUAGAUAUCGUAAGGAAGACCAGUGGCGAAGGCGGGUCUCUGGACAGUUCCUGACGCUGAGGCACGAAGGCCAGGGGAGCAAACGGG
rnacentral:rRNA from 1 species